AGUAUCCCAACAGACAUUAAUAUUACAAUAUAACGACAACUCACAGGUAGGGACGUGUGUGAACCCUGUGUGUUAGCUAGGGAUGGGCCUCGGGUUAUUCAGUAUCCCUACAGACAUUAAUAUUAAAAUACAACGACAACUCACAGGUAGGGACGUGUGUGAACCCUGUGUGUUAGCUAGGGAUGGGCCUCGGGUUAUUCAGUAUCCCUACAGACAUUAAUAUUACACUACUUUGUGUGAGUAUUCCUAUUUUUGAAUUGGUAGUUACAGUCUUGUCUCAUCGCUGCAACUCCCGUACGGACUCGGGAGAGGCGACGGUCGAGAGCCGUGCGUCCUCCGAAACACUAGCCAGCCAAGGACAGAAUGCGCGUUUUAUCCCGGAAGCAAACACCGAACACCUGGCGAUGUCACAGGAGUCGCUAGAGAACAUCCCUUCUUGCCAAACCCUCCCCUAACCCGGACGACGCUGAGCCAAUUGUGUCUUCCCGGUCGCGGCUCGCUGCGACAGAGCCUGGACUUC
ensembl:lncRNA